AUGAUAGAGUACCUGAAAGCAUAAGAUAUAAUGUGAGCUCACUGCUGCAAGCAAGGACAUUGCCGCACCUGCCCCAGCCCCAAGAAAUGGAUCCUGGCAAUCCCUGCAGCCCCUGAAGACUGGCAUCGUCUCCUCAAGAGCUCAUACAACGCAAAUGAUAUCUGUGAAGGACAUGUAGUUAAGAUACCCAUAUAGACAAGCUGAACUGACAUUGAGGAGAAACGGUGCAAUUAUCCAGCUGUACUGACACCAUUAGGGAACUUGUUCUGGAUCACAGGUAAGUCAGCUAAAUAUUUUGUCUUUGCAUAUUUGGGUAUAGAGCCUGUGGCCAGCAGUUGGUAUUUGGCAUGCAACUGCCUACUUUAUCCAUUUUUAUGCACCAACUAAUUUCCUUGAUGUAGGGAUUUGGGGAUGGUGAAAUAAUUUCAUAAAUUAUAAGCAAAAAAAAAUCUGUUUCAUCUGCUUCAUUCUGGAUAGCCACUGCAUAAAACCUGUCAAAAACAUAUUGCUUUGGGUUCAUCCCUGAUGCAGUUCCAUUGAUUACAGUGGAGUUAAAUCAAAGAUGAAUCUGUCUGUUCAAUUUAAAUCCAAUGAUUGGUUAAAAAGUCGGGGGGAGAGCCCUGUCUAAAUCCAGGGCAGUUUUAUCCUUGUGUCAGCAUUUAAUUCCAUUUGCAUAUAAGCCUAUUUCCCUUCUCUAAAUUUAAUUUGUUAGAGCUUGGCCCUCAGCAACAACAGCAACAACAAAGUAAUUGCAUGCAGUAUUGGGCAAUGAUGCCAACACAGCAUGUGUUAUGAAGGUGUCUCAUGCAAAUUUAUAAAAUGUAGCCAUUAGUGACAUUCUGCCUGGUAACAGGUAUCUGGAUACUUGAAAAACACUCUAAGCUUGAGCUUCAUGGACAUGUGACAUCUAAUAAUGCACAUAUGAAGAAGCUUUUUAAAAAUAUCAGCUAUUAAUGGUGUCUGUUUCACCAAAGGAAAUAAGAUAUCCAUGUCUUGUAUGACCAGCGGGAACAUUCUAGAGUUUCAUUGUGAUGAGAUAAAACUAACUGAGGCUUAGGUCUCAGACUGCACUAGAUAUUAUCUGUGACUUUGCACAAGGUACUUUUGCAGUGUGACUUAGAAAGCUUGUUUUAAACUGGGGACGAGUGGUUGGCAUUGUCAUAAUAUACCUUGUUUGUUUAGCUGCUACAUUCCACUGCAAUACUGUGUUCUCAUAUCACCUAGCCUUGAAACACAGAGCCCGAUCUUCACUGAGACCUUUCACCUGGCCAUUUUUGAAUAAAAAGACUCUUAUUGUUGAACUUGACCUGAUCAUUCCAAUUCAGCUGUUCUUCCAAAGCAGCUCCCUGGCUCCUGCACAUGCAAAACAUUUGAAUUUCCUGUUGGCUCAGAGAUAUUAAGUAACUGAAAAUCAAUAUUUGAAGGAAGGAGAGCAGCUGGGAACUUGGAGUUCAGCAUAGACAUGUUGCAUAAUAGAGAAUUCUUGUUUUCCAAGAAGCAAAGACAGGAAGAAUUAUUGUGUGGCCACUUUGCCUCCAGAUUUAAUUUUUUUUUAAUAGAAAAUAAUGGAUUCUUUUUGGGAGAACUAUCAAACAACAAAGUGUCUGGAUGUCGUAGCUGCAUUCUGUAAAUGUCUCUUUAAUUUCACCAAUGCUAAAACCUAUUUUGACCUUCUAGUAAAAGAAAAUAACCCAAAUGGCCUGUUCAAUAUACCAGAGAAAGCACAGUGUCUCCAAAAGGCCUGGCCUAAGUGAACAUCCAGAAUCCCAGCAAGCCAAGAAAUUUGAAGGCAGUCAGACUUGAUUUAAUUAUUUUUUACUACCAGUCUCAUUUGAGAGAAUGAUUAACGGGAGAAGAGACAUAAAUGGCAAAGUCUUGAUCAAAGAAGCUGCUGUCAGAGUACCAUCUAGAUAAAUUAGGAAAAGAAUGCUCAGGUUUCUGUGAAAGAAGACUAAUGACAUCAAGUCAAGAUGAAAUAGAAAGGAGCAGCAUUGCAGGCUGGAAAUCAUAAAAGAGUAGCGUGCCCUGACAAGAAGCCCUGAGAAAUUUCCCGAACUGGAAAGUAAUUGGAAUUGGAAAGGAAUUACUUUCUGUAAGUGCCGGGUCUUGAAGUUACGCAGGACUGAAGAUGACCCAGGCACUAAACUUGCUUUUUGGAACCUGUCAAGACAAGUGAAGAAAUCUUCUAGAAGCCUCUGAAGCAGCAGCUGUUAGUAUCAGCUCUACACACUGCAGGUGUUCUGCAUCUUAUAUGCUCACUCUACUCAACUAGGAUCAGUCCCUUCACUUAAAAGCUCAAACAGUCCCACCUGGAGGCAAGCAGAUAGUGGAUAAAAGGAGACUGUGAAACUAACAGCUAGUAAGCAUUUGUGUGAUUUAUAGAACUUGUUUACAGGAAUGGCAGUCUCCUGGAGAGAGCAGUGGCCCUAGCUGAAAUCAAGAGGAAAGCUUUACAAGUGAUCUGAAUGUACUUGUGUGAAGAGAGGCAUCUUAGAAGAGUUCUUGAACAGGAGGUAAUCUGACACAAAGCAUAUUUACACCAUAGAUACCUGAUGUAUUACUUCAUCAGCAAAUUCAACAAGGCCAAGAUGUCUUUAUUUUCCUUCAGAGCAAGAGCUGUAAGAGCAGUGUGGUGGAAGUAUUGGUCUUCUGUGGCCAGCCGGUGAGAACCCAUCAACAGCUGUGAUGAGCAGAGCAGACACGGGAGACAGGAGGCAGCUGAAGCCAAAGAGGACCCACGCCUGGAGCUGUGUCUGUGUGAUUGGAGCAGAGAGAGGCCAGGACCCAAGGAAAUCCCAGCAGCAAGGGAAAAAAACAGAUUGACUCUCAGUGACUCAUUUAGCUCCUGGAUUGGACAGAUCUCUCCCCUGCUGGCAAUUUGGCUGAGCAUCAAUGGACAGAUACCAGGAUGAAUAGCUUAAAAUAAUUAGGGGUUGGGAAUUUGCAAAACUGCUAGCCAUCCAAUUCUUUACUGUGCAAUGUGAGGCAGAAAAAAGAAAUUACAUUUAGGUUAUUAAAUAUUAAGUCAGUGGAUUUACUUCCAUUUGGUGCAGAACAGGAAACUGGCUAAAAUUCAACAUUUAUAUCAUUGUGUUGAUAGUCUGUUUAUCACUGAGCAAGUAAGUGCCUUUUGGCAGGUCAAGCUCUUUGACACAUGGGGCAAAUGUGUGCUUAAUUUCUCCCAAACAGAAGAAUUAAUGUAAUAAUAAUUAACACAGAUGAGAACAGAAUUAAAUUCAAGUACAGUCAGGAGUUCAGUUUAAUGCCAGGUGUCUCACAUUCUAGAUGUUCUGGGACCAGAUUUUUCCUGUUGAAGGUAGCAAGGGUGUUGCCUUUGGCACUUAUGGGAUCUGAAGUAGGCCUUGGAUGUAAAGAGACAGGAUUCCCUGUACUUUCUAUUCAGUGCACAAAACCAGAAGCAACAGGCUCAUUUAGUAUCAGUAAAGGUCAGUUAAAAUUAUAGAGACAUCCUUUGGAGCAAAUCCUCUGCCUUGUAUUUGCAUAUUUAUGAAUUAGAGAUUAUGACAGGCUAUUUCAUUUAUUAGAGCAGCACUGCUAUAGUUAAUAGUCUGUCAGUACUUCCAUUAUAAACCCUGUUUUUCAGUGUUUAAUAUCUCAGCCAUUUAAAAUCACAUCAGGAAGCAAGCUGGUCUUAUGUUGCUGGCCAGGUACGAUUUUUUGUUAUGGACUAUUUUCAAUAAUGAAAUACUGCUCAUGAUAUAUGCAGAGGAGCCACUGAAUUUCUGUUGGAGGGACAUAGCAAGGUGUGUAGAUUCACUGUGGUUUUGUUUUUCUUUAGAAAAGAAGGGAAAAGAGGGAUUUGACAAAUCAUGUAAACUGUGGCCUUAUGUUUGAAGAACAGUUUUUCAAGCAACUGCUCUCAGAGGAAACACUGGUUCUCAUUGGAAAAUCAGGUUGCUCUUUGCUUGCAAGUGGUGACCAAGGUAAACAAGUGAGAAUGGUUACCCUGUCCCUCUGAUAUUUCUUGUCUACCAACCAUGGGUGAAGCACCCUAGGCAAGAAAGCAGUGAACAUAAAAUAAAAGCCUUCAGAAAUAACAGGAGUCACAAUUACAAAUUCAGAAAUCUGGCCUCUUUUUAAGUGUCUGCCAGCAGCAAAGUGCAGUAGUGUCCUGACUUUAUUGCUGAGAUUUGGGGUAGAGGGUUGCUAAGGCUUAAGGGGCAGUUAUGAAGCACUUUGUACGUGUCCUAAACUGAACAGUGUCAUUUAUUUCAGGAGUCUCACAUCUCUCUCCUUCCAAACAGCCCCACUUUGCUUUCAUAGAAGUGUUACUUCACUAAAAAGUAACUGCCUGGCAAGGGAAAAUGUUCAGACUAAAAUACCAAUUUUUAACUUGCUAGGGCAGGAAAAAUUUACUCUUCAGAGUAGCUGAAAGAAGCUGCUUUUGCACUAUAACCUUUUGCCCUGUGAAAAGAGAAACAGCCCAAACAUAAGCUCCUUGGGAGUGGUUUGUUUUCAAGGUCUUGAAAAUCAUUUGCUGCCUCAGUAACUGACAAGUUAGAAAUCAAAUUCAUGAAGAGAAAAAAAAUGAGGCUAUGUGCAAGAUAUCUUUAGCUCUUUUGCCUCACAAACACAGUUGGAGGUGGGAACAUAGUCCAUAUUUUCCAUCUUUCUCGCCAUAAAGGCCUAUGUGCACAACUGAGGGUUCCAGGGAAACUAGCAAUGACAGGCCAGAAGCACUCUGAAACAUGAUCAAUCCACUUGGUGCAUUGCAGCUAAUCAAACUAUGCCCUAGGCAAGGCCCAGGGCUUGGCCUCUGUGUCACCUUCUGUAAAUUUUGACUGAAUUAAGAUUAACAAUAAGUUUAGAAGUUACAUUACACAAACAUUUUUUUAAGCAUAUGUAAGACAAGAUUGCAACAAAAGGUCUCUGAUCUUAAAUCCCCCAAAUCCAAAUGGUGAGGCAGACUUUUCAUCCAGUCUCUCAUCAACAUCAUGAGAACCAAGAGACCAAAUCAAGACACUCCACUCAGGCUUAUGGAAAAUCUGUUCCAGAUCCAAGUGGCAAGGGCUAAUCAGUAGUGCUUUCUUAAAACAACAGUAUUUGGGAUAUUUUGUAACUAAUUGCUAACUAAAAGUGCAUUUUCCAGACUCCUUCCAGAGUUGCCAUUGUAAAGAACAAUCUUCUUUCCCUAGGCACAUCACAGUGGCUUUUCAGCCAAAAAUUAUCUUUGGUCAUGAUAAGUGAUAAUAACUCAGAAGGAGGCAGACUACAGAAAUUCUAAUUAUUUUGAAUACAAAAUUACUUCAGCAGUUUUUUAAAAAAGGUAUAAUUCAAAGUAAGGGGAGAGGGUUUUUUUGCCAAACAUGUAGAAAAUGUCAUACAUUUUAAAAUAAAGUACUACAUGCUCUUUGCUGGAAACUCUGUCCAGGCUCAGUAAGCUAUCUGGACAGCAUUGUUUACUAGAUAUAUUUGCUAUUCUUUGUCUUAAUUUGCAGUGACAUAAAAUCUUGCUCAACUGACUUGAGUAAAUCUUUGAAUGCUAAAAAUACUAAUCAUUAUGUAAUUAGUCGACAGGAUGUGUGUAAUUCUGCAAUACCAGCAUUCCUGGGUGUGGUUAAGUACAUAGGUAGAAUGCCAACAGUCAUCUAGAUGUAGUAUUAUAAAAUUACACAACAACAUACACCCUGGGUAGAUGCUGUAAUUAUAUUUUACAUUUAUACAAUAGCUACAUUAGUAAAAUGGAACUUGUUAUUUUUAAAAAUAAUAUCUUCCCACAGGCAUGGAUCAUAGUAGGUGAUGGUAAUAAUAUUGCCCAAAUACAGUAUCUUCCAUCUUCCGAGGGACUCAGUCGUCUUCAUAAACAUACAAAUAGGAGACAGAAACCAGGCAUAAAGAGCCCUUCAUUCACUCAUGCCAUAAAACCACCCCAAAACACAUGAUAAUUGCUGAGUCAUGCACUGGAAUAAUUGAAGGCAGAGAACCAACAGGAAGGAAUUUCCAUCUCAUGAGAAUCACAUGAGAUUAACCAGAAAUGUGACUAGAACUGUUAUAUUUUUAUGACUUACCAGACAUCAGGACAAUCCUUAAACCAUGGUGAAAGCAGAUCCACACAGUGAGUCAGAUUCUUUGAAUCUAGCCAGGAAGACCUAUGUUACAGCCAUCAAAUGUCUUGAGCAUUUGAGUUAAUUCUGAUCUCUGCUAAGAUUUACUGUGAAUGUGGUGUGAAAAUCUGCUGCACUCCCAGCCAAAACCUCCCUGCUUGGACAUCCCUCAUUCUACCUGUGGUACAGCGGCAGUGACUGACAGGUAUGCAUGUCACUGGGGCCAGCACUACAGAGAUGGUAACUUAUGCAGUAUAAACAGAAAACAUGGCACACCAGUAUUUACUCUCUUUUGAUAUUGUUUCAAAAUAGAGAAAUACAGAAGAAUGGAAAGGUGAAAAUUCCAACACCAAAAAAAAAAAACAACAAACCAAAGAACCCUAUGCUGUGACUCAUCAUUAAGGUAAAAUGUCAGAGCCUAAAGCUCUGCUUUUUUCAUGUGCCUGGCUGCAGAAGGGUGAGGUGCCCUCUGAGGAUGAUUUUAUCUUUUGCUUUUGAGUCUGAAGACCUUGGAUGUGGUUUGGCAAGUUCAUAAAAAUACUGUGAUGAAGUUGAGUUGCCAUCUGGAAAUGAUACAUACAGAGAUGUAAGAAAGCUUGAGGAGAAAACUGCAGAUGCUGGAAGAAGAAUCAGCGGUGCACAUGAAUGAGGUUAAAAAUUGCAGACAAUUAGCUACAAGAUGACUCCUACUAAAUAAAUCAUCAAAGACUUGACUACUGCUUCCAGGUUUCUGCUGCGAUAUUAGCUCAUUGGAACAGUCAAAAAGAUGUUAAUUUGGCCAAAGUUUUAGAAAUGUGCUAUUCUUGUUUGAAUUAACAAAUCAACAAACAAGGCCAAUCUCUACUGUCUUGCCAAGGCUAUAAAGCUUCUAGGGAAACUAUUAUAUUUAAUGCUCAGGAUCAAGGGCCCCAUGAUGCAAAAUAAGCCUCUUUGUGUUAAAUGAAAGCUGCACAGGAAAGAAAACAUGAGCUUAUCAUGGAAUUUCACAUCUCGUUUCAGCAUUCAAUAAAGCGCUUUGGAUGU